rnacentral:lncRNA from 1 species
UGGAAUUGUGUCGCAUUGUAGGCAUGGGUAGGAGCUAGGAAUUGGUUGAGGUUUCUCAUGAAGAGAGUGUGGGAAAGAAAAUAGCAGUGGUGAGUAGUUCGAUUUUAGUGUGGAAAAAGGGAGAAUGGCGUUCACGGAAGAGUGAAAAAUAAUAAUGAUUUGGGGGAAGAGAGAAGUAGGGGUUACAGAAUGAAGUUGAAGAAAGAAGAGUCUGUUUUGGGGUUUGAUUAAUUGUUAGCGUGUACAUGUAUAUAUUUUAUAAGUAGUGUGUAAUAUCCUAAUUCUUGAAAACUUUAAUGGCUUGGGUGCAGAGGGAAUAAGGUGUUGAAGUAAUAUAGUUUAGUUUUAUAUAGAUAUAAAGGUGUACGAGAAAGUGGGUUUACGUCAGGUAAUAUAUUGUAUUUAUAUAGUAAUGUGUAUAUAGAUAUCUAAUGUAUUAUAUUUAUAUAGUAAGGU